GAUGAACGCUGGCGGUGUGCCUAAUACAUGCAAGUCGAGCGAACAGACGAGGAGCUUACUCCUCUGACGUUAGCGGCGGACGGGUGAGUAACACGUGGAUAACCUACCUAUAAGACUGGGAUAACUUCGGGAAACCGGAGCUAAUACCGGAUAACAUGUUGAACCGCAUGGCUCAACAGUGAAAGACGGUCUUGCUGUCACUUAUAGAUGGAUCCGCGUCGCAUUAGCUAGUUGGUAAGGUAACGGCUUACCAAGGCAACGAUGCGUAGCCGACCUGAGAGGGUGAUCGGCCACACUGGAACUGAGACACGGUCCAGACUCCUACGGGAGGCAGCAGUAGGGAAUCUUCCGCAAUGGGCGAAAGCCUGACGGAGCAACGCCGCGUGAGUGAAGAAGGUCUUCGGAUCGUAAAACUCUGUUAUUAGGGAAGAACAAAUGUGUAAGUAACUAUGCACGUCUUGACGGUACCUAAUCAGAAAGCCACGGCUAACUACGUG
rnacentral:rRNA from 1 species